GCACCAAAUAAUAUAGCACCCAAAUUUCUAAUGGAGAAACUAGGAGAAUUGAAGGAAGAAAUAGACAGUAAAACCAUAUUAGUGGGAGACGGCUGGGGCAGAUAUGGAGGAUCUCUAAAGCUCUGGCCAGGCUGCCAGGUCUAUGCUCCUUCUAGGCUGCCAUCUUGACUUCGCCUCUAGGUUUCUGUUUUUUCAGAACACCCAGGUCUCUAAGGGGGGAGGGGUCGUGGCUUGCCUGGACUCUGAUAACUCCUGAUGGGAUUAGGUUCAGGUGGUAUGGGCCAAAUGAUCCCCAAGCCAAAAAAAAGAAGAAAAAGAAAAGCAGCAACCUCCUCCUCCACCAUCUGUGUUGGGUGCCCAGAAACUGGCCCAGGUUACUUUCAAGGCCAACUAGAUAAUUCAGAUGAAAAUUGAAAUUGAAUGCAUGGAGAAACAAAGAGAUUACAUUUUUGACCUGGAUGAUGCAGCACCCCACACAAAGUAAAUAAUAUGAAGACCAACAAAAGCAACCAACUGAUAAAUGAACAAAGAAGUCACUAAGCAGGCAAGUUAAAUAAUUAGUUUUGGGUUUAUUAAAUAGAGUUAUAUAUUAUAAU
rnacentral:lncRNA from 1 species